rnacentral:rRNA from 1 species
UGGGGAAUUUUGGACAAUGGGCGCAAGCCUGAUCCAGCCAUGCCGCGUGCGGGAAGAAGGCCUUCGGGUUGUAAACCGCUUUUGUCAGGGAAGAAAUCUUCUGAGUUAAUACCUCGGGAGGAUGACGGUACCUGAAGAAUAAGCACCGGCUAACUACGUGCCAGCAGCCGCGGUAAUACGUAGGGUGCAAGCGUUAAUCGGAAUUACUGGGCGUAAAGCGUGCGCAGGCGGUUUUGUAAGACAGAGGUGAAAUCCCCGGCUCAACCUGGGAACUGCCUUUGUGACUGCAAGGGCUUGAGUGCGGCAGAGGGGGAUGGAAUUCCGCGUGUAGCAGUGAAAUGCGUAGAUAUGCGGAGGAACACCG